rnacentral:rRNA from 1 species
AUUGAACGCUGGCGGCAGGCCUAACACAUGCAAGUCGAGCGGGGUUUUCGGACCUAGCGGCGGACGGGUGAGUAAUGCGUAGGAAGCUACCCGAUCGAGGGGGAUACCAGUUGGAAACGACUGUUAAUACCGCAUAAUGUCUACGGACCAAAGUGUGGGACCUUCGGGCCACAUGCUAUCGGAUGCGCCUACGUGGGAUUAGCUAGUUGGUGAGGUAAUGGCUCACCAAGGCGACGAUCCCUAGCUGGUUUGAGAGGAUGAUCAGCCACACUGGAACUGAGACACGGUCCAGACUCCUACGGGAGGCAGCAGUGGGGAAUAUUGGACAAUGGGCGCAAGCCUGAUCCAGCCAUGCCGCGUGUGUGAAGAAGGCCUUCGGGUCGUAAAGCACUUUCAGUGGGGAGGAAGCGUUGUGUGUUAAUAGUACACAGCGUUGACGUUACCUACAGAAGAAGCACCGGCUAACUCUGUGCCAGCCGCCGCCGUAAGAC